UACGGGGGGAGCAAGCGUUGUUCGGAUUUACUGGGCGUAAAGGGCGGGUAGGCGGCCACCGCAAGUCAGUUGUGAAAUCUCCGGGCUUAACCCGGAAAGGUCAACUGAUACUGUGGGGCUAGAGUGCAGAAGGGGCAACUGGAAUUCUCGGUGUAGCGGUGAAAUGCGUAGAUAUCGAGAGGAACACCUGCGGCGAAGGCGGGUUGCUGGGCUGACACUGACGCUGAACUGCGAAAGCUAGGGGAGCGAACGGG
rnacentral:rRNA from 1 species